rnacentral:rRNA from 1 species
CUACGGGUUGCUGCAGUGGGGAAUAUUGCACAAUGGGGGAAACCCUGAUGCAGCAACGCCGCGUGGAGGAUGACGCAUUUCGGUGUGUAAACUCCUUUUAUAUCCCAAGAUAAUGACGGUAGGAUAUGAAUAAGCACCGGCUAACUCCGUGCCAGCAGCCGCGGUAAUACGGAGGGUGCAAGCGUUACUCGGAAUCACUGGGCGUAAAGGGCGCGUAGGCGGGUUGUCAAGUCUUGAGUGAAAUCCAACGGCUCAACCGUUGAACUGCUUGAGAAACUGGCAGCCUAGAGUAAGGGAGAGGUAGAUGGAAUUGGUGGUGUAGGGGUAAAAUCCGUAGAGAUCACCAGGAAUACCCAUUGCGAAGGCGAUCUGCUGGAACUUUACUGACGCUGAGGCGCGAAAGCGUGGGGAGCAAACAGGAUUAGAUACCCCUGUAGUC